AUGUAGGACAAUCUGUCAAGUAGGGGUAAAUUACUCCUAAAGAAAAAAAAAGGAAUCCUAGAUUGUUUUCCCUUCAAGUCAAGCAUCUUGU
rnacentral:pre_miRNA from 1 species